AUACGUAGGGGGCGAGCGUUGUCCGGAAUGAUUGGGCGUAAAGGGCGCGUAGGCGGCGCGGUAAGUCUGGAGUGAAAGUCCUGCUUUCAAGGUGGGAAUUGCUUUGGAUACUGCCGCGCUUGAGUGCAGGAGAGGUUAUCGGAAUUCCCGGUGUAGCGGUGAAAUGCGUAGAGAUCGGGAGGAACACCAGUGGCGAAGGCGGGUAACUGGACUGCAACUGACGCUGAGGCGCGAAAGUGUGGGGAGCAAACAGGAUUGGAUACCCUGGUAGUCCACACUGUAAACGAUGAAUGCUAGGUGUAAGAGGUAUCGACCCCUUUUGUGCCGGAGUCAACACAAUAAGCAUUCCGCCUGGGGAGUACGGCCGCAAGGUUGAAACUCAAAUGAAUUGGCGGGG
rnacentral:rRNA from 1 species